GUGCGCAUGCCCAGGGCCGCGAGCCUCCUAACAGUCAUUGGUGUGGGACGUGUGGGUCGUGUCCCUCGGUUUGGAUUCCUUCUCGCUGUCUGAGACUCAAUUGUGCAAAUAUGAGUGCACAAGUAAGAUCAAGAUCUCGAAGAAGGGAGAUGGAAGUCUUCUAAGCUGGAUGAACCUGUGGCUGCUAAGCAAUCAAGUAAAAAAAACAUCAGAAGAAAAGGAACCAACAACCAAGAAUCCAGAUAUUGAGCUUGGACAAGAGAAAGAAGGAGGAGCACAUGUGGUUCAAGGUUGAUGAGGAGAUGGAGAAAAUGUAUUUCAUUUAUGUGGUUAUAUUAGUAACAGAAAUAAAGGGUUUCCUGAAAAUUGGCUGGAAACUUGUUUGGUGAUGGACAGUCAUAAGAAGAAAAGCUGAAGCCACACAACGUUUUGUUUGUUCUAUUGAUAAUUUGGCUUAAAUUUUCUCAAUAAAGAAUCUAAGUUUGCUC